UACGUAGGAGGCAAGCGUUGUCCGGAUUUACUGGGCGUAAAGAGCGUGUAGGCGGCAUGGCAAGUCUGCUGUGAAAGCUCUCGGCUUAACCGGGAGAGGUCGGUGGAAACUGCCAGGCUUGAGGACGGUAGAGGGGGGUGGAAUUCCCGGUGUAGUGGUGAAAUGCGUAGAUAUCGGGAGGAACACCAGUGGCGAAGGCGGCCCCCUGGGCCGCUCCUGACGCUGAGACGCGAAGGCUAGGGUAGCGAACGGG
rnacentral:rRNA from 1 species